GAUGAACGCUAGCGGCAGGCUUAAUACAUGCAAGUCGUGGGGCAGCAGGUUUGUAGCAAUACAGAUGCUGGCGACCGGCAAACGGGUGCGGAACACGUACAGAACCUUCCUUUGAGCGGGGAAUAGCCCAGAGAAAUUUGGAUUAAUACCCCAUAGUAUAAUGAAGUGGCAUCACUUUAUUAUUAAAGAUUUAUCACUCGAAGAUGGCUGUGCGGCUGAUUAGGUAGUUGGCGGGGUAAAGGCCCACCAAGCCUGCGAUCAGUAACUGGUGUGAGAGCACGACCAGUCACACGGGCACUGAGACACGGGCCCGACUCCUACGGGAGGCAGCAGUAAGGAAUAUUGGUCAAUGGAGGCAACUCUGAACCAGCCAUGCCGCGUGGAGGAUGAAGGUCCUCUGGAUUGUAAACUUCUUUUAUAUGGACGAAAAAAGGCUUUUCUAAGUCGUCUGACGGUACCAUAUGAAUAAGCACCGGCUAACUCCGU
rnacentral:rRNA from 1 species